AGCAGCCGCGGUAAUUCCAGCUCCAAUAGCGUAUAUUAAAGUUGUUGCAGUUAAAAAGCUCGUAGUUGAAUUUCGAGAUCGGCUUACUGGUCGUGCUAUUGUACGUACUGGUAUAAUCGGUUUCUCCUUUCUGACGAACUAUAAUGCCAUUAAUUUGGUGUUUUAGGGAAUCAGGACUGUUACUUUGAAAAAAUUAGAGUGUUUAAAGCAGGCUCACGCUUGAAUACAUUAGCAUGGAAUAACGGAAUAGGACGUUUGAUUCUAUUUUGUUGGUUUCUAGGAUCGACGUAAUGAUUAAUAGGGAUAGUUGGGGGCAUUAGUAUUCAAUUGUCAGAGGUGAAAUUCUUGGAUUUAUUGAAGACUAACUACUGCGAAAGCAUUUGCCAAGGAUGUUUUCAUUAAUCAAGAACGAAAGUUAGGGGAUCGAAGACGAUCAGAUACCGUCGUAGUCUUAACCAUAAACUAUGCCGACUAGGGAUCGGAUGAUGUUAAUUUUUAAUGUACUCAUUCGGCGCCUUAC
rnacentral:rRNA from 1 species